rnacentral:rRNA from 1 species
UGCAGAAUCCCGUGAACCAUCGAGUCUUUGAACGCAAGUUGCGCCCCAAGCCUUUGGCCGAGGGCACGUCUUCCUGGGUGUCACAAAUCGUCGUCCAAACUUAUCCUUAGGGUAAUGGGACGGAAGCUGGUCUCCCGUGUGUUACCGCACGCGGUUGGCCUAAAUCCGAGCCAAGGAUGCAAUGAGCGUCCCGACAUGCGGUGGUGAGUGUAACAAGCUUCUUCGUAUCGUCGUUCGUUCUGUCCGAAAGCUCAAGAUGACCCAAAGUCUUCAAAGCGACCCCAGGUAAGGCGGGAUCACCCGCUGAGUUUAAGCAUAUCAAUAAGCGGAGGAAAAGAAACUAACAAGGAUUCCCUUAGUAACGGCGAGCGAACCGGGAAGAGCCCAGCUUGAAAAUCGGACGUCUUUGGCGUUCGA